GCAAAAACGGGGCAGGGGCGGCGGGUAGCGGUGGCUUGUUUCAUCCCUCUUCUGACAGGCAGGCGGUGCCAGGCGGGUCCUCGCUCGGGAGCUGCGUCGUGGAUGAGUGGCUGCUCCUCCCCGUUCACCGACAGGAUCCUCUUUUCCGGCGGCUGCUCCUCAGGCUGGCGGGCAAUCAGCAGACGACAGGUGAAAGCAAGCUGACUUCUGGCAUCCUUUGCUCCCUGUUUGUGCUGGAUUUAGAAGCUGUAUACGUUGCAAGAUUCAGCUGCCUUAUUGUCUCAGGGAAGAAACGACCUCUCUCCUUACACACAUUCAGGUUCUUGCAUUUGAACGUUAGGUGCUUGUGGGCGUACCGGCUUUGGUUUUUUCUUUUUUCAAUCAAGUAUUUCCUCUUUUUUUAAUAUAUUAUAAUAAAGCUCCUAGUUAUCGGAGACACCAAAGUUAUUUCCACUUACACUUGAAUAUACUACCCCUGCAGAUGGUUUUGCCAUUGUGUUCUCUGCUUUCUGAUCAAGGAGAGGGAAAUGGAAGCCAAAUCUCAGGUAUGGAGUUGGUCAGCUCUCACAGGCGCUGAUCAGAUUGUAGAUUUAUUUCCGUGUGAUUUUUAAAAACCUGCACUACAGGCACACAGAACUUCCCCACUUCUCUGUAACUUUUGCUUCUAAAAAGAGUGGAGACUUCACAUGUGGAAAAUACACAACUUUGUCAUUUUUGCUACUAAAUAACUGACAAUCUCAUGACACAUUUACUCUAAGGGUAUGCAUUGUAAGGAUGCAUUAUAAACCUUCAGUGAAUAAAACCUCUCCUCAGAGCAGAGUAUUUUGAAACAGUUGUGAAAAACACAGCCUUAUAAAUGUACUAUCAGCAUGUCCUAGAGUACUCUGGUAUUUUAAGUAUUUUAAUAGACAAACUAGCGCAUCUGUUCUUUGCUGAAUGAAAAACCGCAAGUUUGGUGUUGUAGGUAUAUAACAAAGGUUCUCUAUUUGCUUGGGGGCUUAUUGAUUGGCAAGAUCAGGUUUUCAUUAACUGUCUCCACGAUGUGACAGACCACCCUGGUACGCAGCCCAGCAAAAGCAGGAAAGCCUAACGAGCCGUGAACAUGUUACAAUAUGGGCUAUUAAGAAUAACGGCGCUGUGUAAUAUCCGAGCGCCUCUGCUUUCUUUUUAUAAAAACGGAGAUCAUUCCUACCUGUGGGCCUGACUUUUGGUACAGCAGAAAGGGACAGGGAAGCGAAAUAUUUUACCGAGCAAGGAUUUUUGCAAUGCUUCUAAAGUCUCGGUGCUUUUUUUCUGUCCCUCAUGUAGCAGAAGCUUAAGAGCUUCGUUUUGUGGCCACUGUGUCUCAGUCUUUUGCUCCUGAGUUACUUCUUGGUGAUUUUUUUUCUGCGAGAUCCCUGCGCUGGGCGCUGCAAUUCAGAUGUUACUUGAGAGCUAAGGAAAAAGCAGCUGGGCAGGUGGAGCAAAGGCAGAGAACAGAAUGUGCUGGAAACUUCCAGCACUAUUUUUUUUUUUUUAAUUUUUUUUUUUUUUUUUAAGGGGCACAAAAAUUAUACCAACGCUUUUCAGCCACUGCAAUAAAUGUAACGGGGAGGAGGGGAGGGUGGCAGGAGAAGAAACAAACACAGACAAGGAAGCAAAAGGUGGCAGCCGGUCCCUCGCCUGCCUGCAGCUCGCAGCCGGCAAAGCUCCGCAGCAGGGUUGGCCCUGGGCAGAGAGGAGCAUAAAUGGCUCACCAGCCGAGAAAUGCCCACCGUGACUUCUCCUUCCACUCCUCACCCCUUUCCCGUUAGGCAAGAGGAGGAGAGGCCCAUUUCCCAGGCGAAAGAGAAUAAUAAGGUGGCUAUUAAUAAUACCUUCUUCCACCAGCUAGGAAUCUCAAAGCAUGUCCCGGUCACGAAUUAAUCCCCGCAGAAGUCUGGCGAGGUGGGGACAGUCAGUGUUGUUAUCCUUGCUUUAAAGCACAGAAUUUUGAGGAGGAUCAUCUGGCUGCCAAAGCGGGCAUCUGCUUUUCCUACCCCUGGUCCAGGGGGGCAGGUAUUCUCCCAGGGAUCAGCUGUACCUGCCUGCUACGUGUCUGGCACUUCUUCAGACCUUGCUUUUCAGAGCCCUCUUGUGUCCCCAUCUUUUUGCAAGCAUGGCUGUGCUGUGCUACCCUAUCCCCCUCUCCUCCCCUCCCCAUCCUUAUCCACAGGAGGAUAUCCUCCAUGGAUAGGCACAGAUGGAGCCCUGCUAGGAUAUCCUCGGCACUGCGUAUUAUUUGUUUCUCUCCGCGUCCAUCAAAUAAGGAGACAGAUAAGCUGCUUCCCUCUCCCUCCCCAUCGCUCUGGGGGCUCCAGCGCGGUCACCCUCCGUGUACCCCGCUGCCAACACGGCUUCUGCCGCAAGGUUGUGGGGAGAGAGCCCUAAUGCGUCUCCCUCCAUCCUGCCACCGCUGU